CUCAGGAUGAACGCUAGCUACAGGCUUAACACAUGCAAGUCGAGGGGCAGCAUUUUAGUUUGCUUGCAAACUAAAGAUGGCGACCGGCGCACGGGUGAGUAACACGUAUCCAACCUGCCGAUAACUCGGGGAUAGCCUUUCGAAAGAAAGAUUAAUAUCCGAUAGUAUAUUAAAACCGCAUGGUUUUACUAUUAAAGAAUUUCGGUUAUCGAUGGGGAUGCGUUCCAUUAGUUUGUUGGCGGGGUAACGGCCCACCAAGACUACGAUGGAUAGGGGUUCUGAGAGGAAAGUCCCCCACAUUGGAACUGAGACACGGUCCAAACUCCUACGGGAGGCAGCAGUGAGGAAUAUUGGUCAAUGGACGAGAGUCUGAACCAGCCAAGUAGCGUGAAGGAUGACUGCCCUAUGGGUUGUAAACUUCUUUUAUAUGGGAAUAAAGUAUUCCACGUGUGGGAUUUUGUAUGUACCAUAUGAAUAAGGAUCGGCUAACUCCGUGCCAGCAGCCGCGGUAAUACGGAGGAUCCGAGCGUUAUCCGGAUUUAUUGGGUUUAAAGGGAGCGUAGGUGGAUUGUUAAGUCAGUUGUGAAAGUUUGCGGCUCAACCGUAAAAUUGCAGUUGAAACUGGCAGUCUUGAGUACAGUAGAGGUGGGCGGAAUUCGUGGUGUAGCGGUGAAAUGCUUAGAUAUCACGAAGAACUCCGAUUGCGAAGGCAGCUCACUAGACUGCAACUGACACUGAUGCUCGAAAGUGUGGGUAUCAAACAGGAUUAGAUACCCUGGUAGUCCACACAGUAAACGAUGAAUACUCGCUGUUUGCGAUAUACAGUAAGCGGCCAAGCGAAAGCAUUAAGUAUUCCACCUGGGGAGUACGCCGGCAACGGUGAAACUCAAAGGAAUUGACGGGGGCCCGCACAAGCGGAGGAACAUGUGGUUUAAUUCGAUGAUACGCGAGGAACCUUACCCGGGCUUAAAUUGCAUUUGAAUAAUCUGGAAACAGGUUAGCCGCAAGGCAAAUGUGAAGGUGCUGCAUGGUUGUCGUCAGCUCGUGCCGUGAGGUGUCGGCUUAAGUGCCAUAACGAGCGCAACCCUUAUCUUUAGUUACUAACAGGUCAUGCUGAGGACUCUAGAGAGACUGCCGUCGUAAGAUGUGAGGAAGGUGGGGAUGACGUCAAAUCAGCACGGCCCUUACGUCCGGGGCUACACACGUGUUACAAUGGGGGGUACAGAAGGCAGCUACCUGGCGACAGGAUGCUAAUCCCAAAAACCUCUCUCAGUUCGGAUCGAAGUCUGCAACCCGACUUCGUGAAGCUGGAUUCGCUAGUAAUCGCGCAUCAGCCAUGGCGCGGUGAAUACGUUCCCGGGCCUUGUACACACCGCCCGUCAAGCCAUGAAAGCCGGGGGUACCUGAAGUACGUAACCGCAAGGAGCGUCCUAGGGUAAAACUGGUA
rnacentral:rRNA from 1 species